UCCAGCCUGCCCAGUGAUAAAUUAAACGGCCGCGGUACCCUAACCGUGCAAAGGUAGCAUAAUCACUUGUUCUUUAAAUGAGGACUUGUAUCAACGGCAUCACGAGGGGUCUACUGUCUCCUUCCUCCAAUCAGUGAAACUGAUCUCCCCGUGAAGAAGCGGGGAUACCCCUAUAAGACGAGAAGACCCCAUGGAGCUUUAAACCCAAUAACAACCCCACUUACUACACCCACUAAACUAAUAGGGUUCUGUAUACUUGGUUUUAGGUUGGGGUGACCGCGGAGUACAACAAAACCUCCACAAUGAACGAGACUACUCUUAUCUACGAGCCACACCUCUAAGAAUUAAUAUAUUAACACAAAUGAUCCGAUAUUCGAUCAACGAACCAAGUUACCCUGGGGAUAACAGCGCAAUCCAUUUCAAGAGCCCAUAUCGACAAAUGGGUUUACGACCUCGAUGUUGGAUCAGGAUAUCCUAGUGGCGCAGCAGCUACUAAAGGUUCGUUUGUUCAACGAUUAAAAUCCU
rnacentral:rRNA from 1 species